GCGCACCAGUCGAGAAACUCCGCAAUGCUCGAAAGAGUGACGGGGGAUUCCAAGUGCCUACGCUUAGCGUAGGCUGUUCAGAUGCCUAAAAGCAUCUGGAGUAAGGGCUGGGUAAGACGGGUGCCAUCUGCAGUGGUAAUGAAAAACUUGCUACUGCAAGGCAUAAGCCGCCGCGGUAAUACCCGCAGCCCGAGUGGUAGUCGCUUUUAUUGGGCCUAAAGCGUCCGUAGCCGGUCUGGUAAAUGCCUGGGGUAAAUCGUGGGGCCUAACCUCACGAAUUCCGGGUAGACUGCCAGACUUGGGACCGGUUGAGGGAGAGGGUACUCCAGGGGCAGGGGUGAAAUCCUGUAAUCCUUGGAGGACCACCGGUGGCGAAAGCGCUCUCCUAGGACGGUCGACGGUGAGGGACGAAAGCCAGGGGAGCAAACCGGAUUAGAUACCCGCGUAGU
rnacentral:rRNA from 1 species